GCAGGCUAGAGUCUUGUAGAGGGGGGUAGAAUUUCAGGUGUAGCGGUGAAAUGCGUAGAGAUCUGAAGGAAUACCAGUGGCGAAGGCGGCCCCCUGGACAAAGACUGACGCUCAGAUGCGAAAGCGUGGGUAGCAAACAGGAUUAGAUACCCUGGUAGUCCACGCCGUAAACGCUGUCUACUUGGAGGUUGAGGUUUAGACUUUGGCUUUCGGCGCUAACGCAUUAAGUAGACCGCCUGGGGAGUACGGCCGCAAGGUUAAAACUCAAAUGAAUUGACGGGGGCCCGCACAAGCGGUGGAGCAUGUGGUUUAAUUCGAUGCAACGCGAAGAACCUUACCUACUCUUGACAUCCAGCGAAGCCUUUAGAGAUAGAGGCGUGCCUUCGGGAGCGCUGAGACAGGUGCUGCAUGGCUGUCGUCAGCUCGUGUUGUGAAAUGUUGGGUUAAGUCCCGCAACGAGCGCAACCCUUAUCCUUGUUUGCCAGCACGUAAUGGUGGGAACUCCAGGGAGACUGCCGGUGAUAAACCGGAGGAAGGUGGGGACGACGUCAAGUCAUCAUGGCCCUUACGAGUAGGGCUACACACGUGCUACAAUGGCAGAUACAGAGGGCAGCGAAGCUGCGAAGUGGAGCGAAUCCCUUAAAGUCUGUCGUAGUCCGGAUUGGAGUCUGCAACUCGACUCCAUGAAGUCGGAAUCGCUAGUAAUCGUGGAUCAGAAUGCCACGGUGAAUACGUUCCCGGGCCUUGUACACACCGCCCGU
rnacentral:rRNA from 1 species